rnacentral:rRNA from 1 species
UCCUGAGCCCUAUGGGAUGCAGCAGUGGGGAAUAUUGCACAAUGGGGGAAACCCUGAUGCAGCGACGCCGCGUGGAGGAAGAAGGUCUUCGGAUUGUAAACUCCUGUUGUUGAGGAAGAUAAUGACGGUACUCAACAAGGAAGUGACGGCUAACUACGUGCCAGCAGCCGCGGUAAAACGUAGGUCACAAGCGUUGUCCGGAAUUACUGGGUGUAAAGGGAGCGCAGGCGGGAGAACAAGUUGGAAGUGAAAUCCAUGGGCUCAACCCAUGAACUGCUUUCAAAACUGUUUUUCUUGAGUAGUGCAGAGGUAGGCGGAAUUCCCGGUGUAGCGGUGGAAUGCGUAGAUAUCGGGAGGAACACCAGUGGCGAAGGCGGCCUACUGGGCACCAACUGACGCUGAGGCUCGAAAGCGUGGGUAGCAAACAGGAUUAGAUACCCAAGUAGUCCA